UACGUAGGGGGCUAGCGUUGUUCGGAAUUACUGGGCGUAAAGGGCGCGUAGGCGGUGCGAUAAGUCAGGCGUGAAAGGCCCGGGCUCAACCCGGGGACUGCGCUUGAUACUGUUGCGCUGUGAGUCCGGGAGAGGAUGGCGGAAUUCCCAGUGUAGAGGUGAAAUUCGUAGAUAUUGGGAAGAACACCGGUGGCGAAGGCGGCCAUCUGGACCGGCACUGACGCUGAGGCGCGAAAGCGUGGGGAGCAAACAGG
rnacentral:rRNA from 1 species